UACGUAGGGUGCAAGCGUUGUCCGGAAUUAUUGGGCGUAAAGAGCUCGUAGGCGGUUUGUUGCGUCGGCUGUGAAAUCCCGAGGCUCAACCUCGGGUCUGCAGUCGAUACGAGCAAACUAGAGUGUUGCAGGGGAGACUGGAAUUCCUGGUGUAGCGGUGAAAUGCGCAGAUAUCUGGAGGAACACCGGUGGCGAAGGCGGCAUCCUGGACCAACACUGACACUGAGGAGCGAAAGCCAGGGGAGCAAACGGG
rnacentral:rRNA from 1 species